GUACCCGCUGAACUUAAGCAUAUCAAUAAGCGGAGGAAAAGAAACCAACAGGGAUUGCCCCAGUAACGGCGAGUGAAGCGGCAACAGCUCAAAUUUGAAAUCUGGCUUCGGCCCGAGUUGUAAUUUGCAGAGGAAGAUUCUGGUGACGCGCCGUCCGAGUCCCCUGGAACGGGGCGCCAUAGAGGGUGAGAGCCCCGUAUGGAUGGAUGCCUAGCCUGUGUGAAUCUCCUUCGACGAGUCGAGUAGUUUGGGAAUGCUGCUCAAAAUGGGAGGUAAAUUCCUUCUAAAGCUAAAUAUUGGCCAGAGACCGAUAGCGCACAAGUAGAGUGAUCGAAAGAUGAAAAGCACUUUGAAAAGAGGGUUAAACAGCACGUGAAAUUGUUGAAAGGGAAGCGCUUGUGACCAGACUUGCGCCUGGCUGAUCAUCCGGUGUUCUCACCGGUGCACUCUGCCAGGCUCAGGCCAGCAUCGGUUUUCGUGGGGGGAUAAAGGUCCUGGGAACGUAGCUCCUCUGGGAGUGUUAUAGCCCGGGGCGUAAUGCCCUCGCGGGGACCGAGGUUCGCGCAUCUGCAAGGAUGCUGGCGUAAUGGUCAUCAGCGACCCGUCUUGAAACACGGACCAAGGAGUCAAGGUUUUGCGCGAGUGUUUGGGUGUCAAACCCGCACGCGUAAUGAAAGUGAACGUAGGUGAGAGCUUCGGCGCAUCAUCGACCGAUCCUGAUGUAUUCGGAUGGAUUUGAGUAGGAGCGUUAAGCCUUGGACCCGAAAGAUGGUGAACUAUGCUUGGAUAGGGUGAAGCCAGAGGAAACUCUGGUGGAGGCUCGCAGCGGUUCUGACGUGCAAAUCGAUCGUCAAAUCUGAGCAUGGGGGCGAAAGACUAAUCGAACCAUCUAGUAGCUGGUUACCGCCGAAGUUUCCCUCAGGAUAGCAGUGUUGUUCUUCAGUUUUAUGAGGUAAAGCGAAUGAUUAGGGACUCGGGGGCGCUUUUUAGCCUUCAUCCAUUCUCAAACUUUAAAUAUGUAAGAAGCCCUUGUUACUUAAUUGAACGUGGGCAUUCGAAUGUACCAACACUAGUGGGCCAUUUUUGGUAAGCAGAACUGGCG
rnacentral:rRNA from 1 species